CCUACGGGUGGCAGCAGUGGGGAAUAUUGCACAAUGGGCGCAAGCCUGAUGCAGCCAUGCCGCGUGUAUGAAGAAGGCCUUCGGGUUGUAAAGUACUUUCAGUAGGGAGGAAGGUAGUGUAGUUAACACCUGCAUUAUUUGACGUUACCUACAGAAGAAGCACCGGCUAACUCCGUGCCAGCAGCCGCGGUAAUACGGAGGGUGCGAGCGUUAAUCGGAAUUACUGGGCGUAAAGCGCAUGCAGGCGGCCUGUUAAGUCAGAUGUGAAAGCCCGGGGCUUAACCUCGGAAUUGCAUUUGAAACUGGCAGGCUAGAGUCUUGUAGAGGGGGGUAGAAUUUCAGGUGUAGCGGUGAAAUGCGUAGAGAUCUGAAGGAAUACCAGUGGCGAAGGCGGCCCCCUGGACAAAGACUGACGCUCAGAUGCGAAAGCGUGGGGAGCAAACAGGAUUAGAUACCCGCGUAGUC
rnacentral:rRNA from 1 species